UACAGAGACUGCAAGCGUUAUUCGGAUUCACUGGGCGUAAAGGGUGCGCAGGUGGCCAAGUGUGUUAGGCGUGAAAGCCCGGGGCUUAACCCCGGAAUUGCACCUAAAACUACUUGGCUAGAGCAUUGGAGAGGGGAGCAGAAUUCACGGUGUAGCAGUGAAAUGCGUAGAUAUGCGGAGGAACACCGAUGGCGAAGGCAAUCCCCUGGACCUGUACUGACGCUCAUGCACGAAAGCGUGGGGAGCAAACAGG
rnacentral:rRNA from 1 species